rnacentral:rRNA from 1 species
UACGUAGGGUGCAAGCGUUACUCGGAAUUACUGGGCGUAAAGCGUGCGCAGGCGGUUAUGUAAGACAGUUGUGAAAUCCCCGGGCUCAACCUGGGAACUGCAUUUGUGACUGCAUCGCUGGAGUGCGGCAGAGGGGGAUGGAAUUCCGCGUGUAGCAGUGAAAUGCGUAGAUAUGCGGAGGAACACCGAUGGCGAAGGCAAUCCCCUGGGCCUGCACUGACGCUCAUGCACGAAAGCGUGGGGAGCAAACAGG